GACGAACGCUGGCGGCGUGCCUAAUACAUGCAAGUAGAACGCACAGUUUAUACCGUAGCUUGCUACACCAUAGACUGUGAGUUGCGAACGGGUGAGUAACGCGUAGGUAACCUGCCUGGUAGCGGGGGAUAACUAUUGGAAACGAUAGCUAAUACCGCAUAAUAUUAAUUAUUGCAUGAUAAUUGAUUGAAAGGUGCAAUUGCACCACUACCAGAUGGACCUGCGUUGUAUUAGCUAGUAGGUGAGGUAACGGCUCACCUAGGCGACGAUACAUAGCCGACCUGAGAGGGUGAUCGGCCACACUGGGACUGAGACACGGCCCAGACUCCUACGGGAGGCAGCAGUAGGGAAUCUUCGGCAAUGGACGAAAGUCUGACCGAGCAACGCCGCGUGAGUGAAGAAGGUUUUCGGAUCGUAAAGCUCUGUUGUAAGAGAAGAACGGGGUGAGAGUGGAAAGUUCACACUGUGACGGUAUCUACCA
rnacentral:rRNA from 1 species